rnacentral:tRNA from 1 species
CAUUAGAUGUCUGAAAUUUAAGAAUUGAUCUUUUAAAUCAUCUAUAGUAACUAAAAAUUACUUCUAAUGA